rnacentral:rRNA from 1 species
AUUGAACGCUGGCGGAAUGCUUUACACAUGCAAGUCGAACGGCAGCACGGACUUCGGUCUGGUGGCGAGUGGCGAACGGGUGAGUAAUGUAUCGGAACGUGCCCAGUCGUGGGGGAUAACGUAGUGAAAAUUACGCUAAUACCGCAUACGAUCUAUGGAUGAAAGCGGGGGAUCGCAAGACCUCGCGCGAUUGGAGCGGCCGAUAUCAGAUUAGGUAGUUGGUGGCGAAAAGGCCCACCAAGCCAACGAUCUGUAGCUGGUCUGAGAGGACGACCAGCCACACUGGAACUGAGACACGGUCCAGACUCCGACGGGAGGCAGCAGUGGGGAAUUUUGGACAAUGGGCGAAAGCCUGAACCAGCCAUUCCGCGUGCAGGAUGAAGGCCCUCGGGUUGUAAACUGCUUUUGUACAGAACGAAAAGGUUUCUACUAAUACUAGGAGCUCAUGACGGUACUGUAAGAAUAAGCACCGGCUAACUACGUGCCAGCCGCCGCGGUAA